AGCAGCCGCGGUAAUUCCAGCUCCAAUAGCGUAUAUUAAAGUUGUUGCAGUUAAAAAGCUCGUAGUUGAAUUUCGGGGUCAGUAGAUUGGUCAUGCCACUGGUAUGUACUGGUCUCACUGAUUCCUCCUUCCUGAUGAGCCGUAAUGCCAUUAAUUUGGUGUUGCGAGGAAUCUGGACUGUUACUUUGAAAAAAUUAGAGUGUUUAAAGCAGGCUAACGCUUGAAUACAUUAGCAUGGAAUAAUGAAAUAGGACGUUCGAUCUUAUUUUGUUGGUUUCUAAGAUUGACGUAAUGAUUAAUAGGGAUAGUUGGGGGCAUUAGUAUUCAAUUGUCAGAGGUGAAAUUCUUGGAUUUAUUGAAGACUAACUACUGCGAAAGCAUUUGCCAAGGAUGUUUUCAUUAAUCAAGAACGAAAGUUAGGGGAUCGAAGACGAUCAGAUACCGUCGUAGUCUUAACCAUAAACUAUGCCGACUAGGGAUCGGAUGAUGUUAAUUUUUAAUGA
rnacentral:rRNA from 1 species